UUUAUCGACUGUCCAUGUUUGUUUACCUAUGAUAUUAGUUCCCUCAACAGGUCCUUUUUCCGAAAGUUUCCGAAGAAAAGUGCGCACUUUUGAGCAAACUCCUUAUUCCACUAAUAGGUUUUGUUUGAAUAAUCGGUUGCAUUGGAAUUUGCAGGAAAAAAUUCAAAAAAAUCGAGCCGUUUUGGAUUUACGGAAAGGAGGAUACGUCGAGUUUCAUAUCAGCUGCUGAGAACACCCCGAGUAAUUUUCCGGUUUUGUCAGCCAGCUCGUAGGAACUCGUUCCAAUACGGGCUCGUACUGUGCAUGGCGUAUACAAUGGACCUAGCUUGGCAUUGUAAUUUUGAGGAACAGAUGAUUGGCGGAAGUUCCUUUUUAGAACAUUUUGACCAACCGUAUACGAUGGAGCUUUGACUUUGCUCCGUAAAUUAUAAUAAUUCUUAUUUUUCUCAUAAUGCUUUCGAAGAUUUUUGUAUACAAUGUCAUAAAUAGAUUUAUCAA